rnacentral:rRNA from 1 species
ACGAACGCUGGCGGCGUGCUUAACACAUGCAAGUCGAACGGAAAGGCCCUGCUUUUGUGGGGUGCUCGAGUGGCGAACGGGUGAGUAACACGUGAGUAACCUGCCCUUGACUUUGGGAUUACUUCAGGAAACUGGGGCUAAUACCGGAUAGGAGCUCCUGCUGCAUGGUGGGGGUUGGAAAGUUUCGGCGGUUGGGGAUGGACUCGCGGCUUAUCAGCUUGUUGGUGGGGUAGUGGCUUACCAAGGCUUUGACGGGUAGCCGGCCUGAGAGGGUGACCGGCCACAUUGGGACUGAGAUACGGCCCAGACUCCUACGGGAGGCAGCAGUGGGGAAUAUUGCACAAUGGGCGGAAGCCUGAUGCAGCAACGCCGCGUGCGGGAUGACGGCCUUCGGGUUGUAAACCGCUUUCGCCUGUGACGAAGCGUGAGUGACGGUAAUGGGUAAAGAAGCACCGGCUAACUACGUG